AUAUCACGUAGAAACACCGGUUCCCGUCCGAUCACCAAAGUUAAGCAACAUCGACUUUGACCAGUACAUAGAUGGGUGACAGCUUGGAAAUACCAAGUGCUGUAAG